ensembl:lncRNA
GGCACGGAGGAGAGCCACAAUGGAUAAACUAACGGGCCACGGGAGGACCGCGCUUUGAUUUAUAAUCCGUCGAGAGAUACCAUCUCGUAUGCCAUCCACGAGAGACAAGUGAAAUAACGGUUAAGGGAUCUCACAACCUCGGAAAUAAACCACCAAUUCGACAUGGAUCGGUUUGAGCAUCGACAGCGCCUUUUAGAAACUGGCUGCCUCCACCUGCUUCGAAGGCGGAUUUUGGAUAAGAAGCGUUUAUCGUUUUCUGUACUGUCCUCUCUUCAUAGGUACAUCAUCUGAUUUCAUUUCCUCGGUAAAAACCUAUUCUAUAGGCUAGCCAUAUGCUUCUCAUCCUAUACCGGAACCCUUACUGCUGCCUUCCACGCGGGUGCGCCUCCCUCCGUUGGAUGGCAAAAGAACCAGGAAAAAUGUCCUCGCAUUGAAAAGUGGAACCCAUACGAUACUCUGGCAGUAUGUACGAGAAGGAGUCGGUUGCUAUCUUUGGUUAUCUAGCUGUAUGAGUGUUACUCGGCCGUCAUAAAGCUAGCUAACCGAAAGUAGGAAUGUCCUCCAAACCUGCGACUCGGACAGGAAUAAAUGGUGUCUGGGAGUAAAGACACAAAAUAACAUAAUUGAUAUGCAAUUACAGGCCAAUACCUCAGUGCCUUUCCGGUUGAUCCAGUGCCCUUGUCACUGCAGUGGCUGCCUGAGAUACACACAGAAACUCUGCAGUGUGAACAGCACACGCUGUCUACUAUAUGUGACUGCCAGCCAUUCACACCAGGUCUGGAUUGAGCGAGGGAAAAGUGGCACAGUCGUCACAAAAAAGGAGAAAGCAGGAGGGGAAGAAAAAGGCCAACCCCCUUGUCCCUCUUCCCUUAAAUCUCCAUCACCGGAAGCCUUUGGUGCCAUCUGUGCCCCCGGAGAAAAGGACGGACGAGAUGCCUCCACCCUGUGCCAACGGGGACAAAGGAGCUGCCAGUUAGAGCGGCCCCCCUCGCAGGCAACCAGAGGACUCUGUGUGACUGACUGGGGCUGAGCUACGGAAGCCAUCUUGAUGGAGAGUCUUGCUGCUGCUCCUAAAAUGGCUGUGUUGGCAUGAGGUCCUGCUGGUGUUGACAACCUCCAGAGGAAGCCUCUUCCAUCAGCCCUGAGCCCUGAGCCCUGGGCCCUGGCAGUCGGUUUAGACGCACCAGCGGGAAUAGCAUGUCAGAUCCCAGGAUGUCACGCAAGGCCUUCCUCAUUGGCAUCCUCUCCAGUCAAACACUGAGAAAUUAGGGCACUGAAGAAUCCCCCCUAAAAUUAAUGCUUGGAGAGAUUUACUGUAAGGACAAUGUUUGGAGUUAUUAGAAGAAAUUGUUUGCAGAAGUUGCACACGGAUUAUCUGCAGAGAUAUUGCACUUGGGUAAUGAAUGUUCUCUUUUCCCUGGCUGAGAGUGUAUAGUUUCAAUAUAACUUUUAACAUUACAGCAGAAUGUAAGACAAUGUGUGUAUGAUGUGAAAUCAAAAGGGAUGAGAUCAACAUGUGUUCAUACCUUAAUCUAAGUGUGUGUGUGUGUGGUCCGUGUGCGCGUGUGAGUGUGUGUGUGUGUGGUUUGGUCCCUAUUGUACUAUUUAGAGUACUCUGGAGUGUACUGGGCUUCAGAGAAGCACUACAGUGCCCUAAUGUGUGGGCUGCUUACAAGAGAAGCUCUCUGGAUGUCUAUCCUCUGUCAUGUGCAAUUAGUUACUUUAUGAAUAGAACUGACUACUCUAUGCAAAUAAAUGUGAAUGACUCACCCUCUGGCUGUAUUGCAAAUGUUGUUUAAUGUUUGACUGACACAGUGAAAAGAAAGACAUUGUUUGGUGAAGAUUCCAUCCAUUUACUGUAUAUCCAUCAAAUGCUGCGUUUUUCCAAUUACAAAUAUUAUCUGCAUGUGUUCAUAGUGAUCAGGGAAUGUUCUACAUGAAAUGUGUUGGAUACAGUAUUGAAGCAGUCAGAUUAAUAGCCGUCUCAUUGCCUGAUUGUUAUUAUUAUCCUUAUUCAGAGAGAUAGACAGUUUUGAACAUACCUGCAAUAAAGAAAGGGACACAUACUUGUACACUAAAGUCAUACAAAACAUGUUUUUGUAAUUGAGUUCUGACUUGUCAUAACUUCUGUGCUGUUUGAAUUGAAUGUGUAUACAGAAUAAAUAAUUCAACAGAUGUCUAAAAGAUUCUAGUGUUUUUUAUUGCAAAUACAGAAAUGAUUGAUAUUGAAGUUUAUAUGUCUGCAUUUAGACAGG